rnacentral:rRNA from 1 species
UACGUAGGGGGCUAGCGUUGUUCGGAAUUACUGGGCGUAAAGCGCACGUAGGCGGUUGUUUACGUCAGGGGUGAAAUCCCAGGGCUCAACCCUGGAACUGCCUCUAAUACUGGGCAUCUAGAGUCCGAGAGAGGUGAGUGGAAUUCCGAGUGUAGAGGUGAAAUUCGUAGAUAUUCGGAGGAACACCAGUGGCGAAGGCGGCUCACUGGCCCGAUACUGACGCUGAGGCGCGAAAGCGUGGGGAGCAAACAGG